CCGAGCCCUUCUCCGCGCGACGCGAAAUUACUGAUGGCACAGACGGCCAACUGUGAGCUUUGAAGCCUCGAAAUGGAAUUUGGAAGCCAGGGGGUUACAGACUUUGACGGUCACAGUUUUUGGCGUAACACCGUAGCUGAGCGUGGGCAGGCGAUGGGAAGGAGGGGCACCCGUGUUAUUCCAGGUCAAUCAACGCAGAGCAUGUGGAAAGAAACGCGCAACGCCCAGACAGCCUGUUCAGAUAAAAGGGCUGCUCUCUCAUUGGGCGGAAAGGGAAUGUGACGCCGCCGGAACUCUGUGCGGUGAGGAGCCAGCCGUGGGAAUGUG